rnacentral:SRP_RNA from 1 species
GCUGGGUGUGGUGGCGCACGCCUGUAGUCCCAGCUACUUGGGAGGCUGAGGCGGGAAAAUCGCUUGAACCCGGGAGGUGGAGGUUGCAGUGAGCCAAGAUUGUGCCACUGCACUCCAGCCUGGGUGACAGAGUGAGACUCCAUCUCAA